UCCUUAAUAGCUGAGCGGUAGAGCAAUCGGCUAUUAACUAACUGGUCUUAGGUUCAAAUCCUACUUAGGGAG